rnacentral:tRNA from 1 species
GUAGUUCAGUGGUAGAGCGCUUGCCUCGAAAGCAUGAGACUCUGGAUUCAAUCCUCAGC